UGGGGAAUUUUGCACAAUGGGGGAAACCCUGAUGCAGCGACGCCGCGUGAUUUAGAAGGCCUUCGGGUUGUAAAAAUCUUUUCUAUGGGAAGAAAAUGACAGUACCAUAGGAAUAAGGACCGGCUAAUUACGGGCCAGCAGCCGCGGUAAUACGUAAGGUCCGAGCGUUGUCCGGAAUCAUUGGGCGUAAAGGGUACGUAGGCGGGUAAGCAAGUUAGAAGUGAAAUCCUAUAGCUCAACUAUAGUAAGCUUUUAAAACUGCUCAUCUUGAGGUAUGGAAGGGAAAGUGGAAUUCCUAGUGUAGCGGUGAAAUGCGCAUAUAUUAGGAGGCAGACCGGUAGCGAAGGCGAAUUCCUGGCCAUAGCCUGACGCUGAGGUACGAAAGCGUGGGUAGCAAACAGG
rnacentral:rRNA from 1 species